CACAAUUUUUAAAAUCUUGUCCAUACUUAUUUUAUUGUCAUCAUUUCACAUUAUAUCUUUCCAGUGGCGGAUAGUACUACUCUUUCUCACUGAUGGAAUAUAGCAUCUCAUAGCAGAUUAGAUGACAUAAGCUUGUGUAUUCACACCAUACUGCACUGCAUGCUAAUAUUUGUUGAUUCCACCGAGUUUCUCCUUGCAUAAUACUCCCUCCGUCCCAUAAUAUAAGAGCGUUUUUAACACUAGUGUAGUAUCAAAAACACUCUUAUAUUAUGGGACGGAGGGAGUAUUUAACAACAGAUCUUAUGCUAUAGACAUUUCCACUAAUUUAUGCUUAAAGGGGAAAUAUUUAUGUCUUCUAAGGGGACUAAAGGCUUUUGUUGUUUUUGUUGAUAGUAGAGCAUGUAAAUAGCUUCUUAGUUUAGUUAUUUAUAAGGAAGUUAGUUGAUGGUAGAGAUGCUCUGGUAAUCAUGAGUCAUUUUUCUCCUUUUUAAUUAAUAUGUUUCAUUUAUCUUCUAUUGUACCUCCAGUUUGGUACAUUUUUGUCAUUUAGCUCCAAGCUAUGGGACAAAAAGCAUCUAAAGACUUAGUUUUUAAAAAGAGAUUGACUCAAUUGUAUGCCCAACUCACAUCAGCAUCCAAAGAAUGUUAAUAGGAGCAUUUAGUGGAAAAUAUUGCCGCCAAAACUAGAGUAACAAACAAGUAUGUAACACAGUAUAUAUUCUGCUUUGAUGGUUGUAAUUUGGUAAUAAUAUAAUUUGUUUUGUAAUACAGUAGUCUAAAAGUAAAAUUAUGCUAUUCAGUUGGAUACUAAAUUAUUGUUAAAUUUACCUUUUUCAAGGGCUCUUCCCUUGAAAAGGUUACUUCUAAUUUUGGUGGCUACAUUGGUGGUUGGAUUUGGAAAUUUACUUGCAAAAGUUCAUUAUGGUUAGAAUUUCUCUCCAUUGGCUCAAGGUACAAUAAAUUAUGGAAAUCCACCCGCCUGAGUACUAGGAACUGGCUGCCGCGGCCCCACAUCGAAGCAUGCCUGCCCUGCCACGUGUCUUGCUCGUCAGCCGCCAACCCACCCUAGCCGCCACCGUCCUAGAGCGAAGCAUCCGCGCCCCGCCACCUCUCUUCCUCACUAGCUGCUAGCCUCCAUUGCGGUCUUUGCGAUGAUCCCGUUGUUGUUGUAGGAGCUGGCUGCCAGUGCCCCUGCUUGCCGAUUUUCAGCGGUGCCUGUGCCGCUGCCGCUGCUUGGUGGGUCGGUCCUUGCUCUGUUCCAUGCUCGUCUGACAUCAUGUGAUUUUGCUUGGUUCCCUUUAAGCAUUGUAAAAAGAAGGCAAUUUCUUUGUCACCGGGCUUCCUUUCCAUCCCUUGCGUGGUCUGCGUCUCUGGGCAUACUCUGGCAAGAUUUCUUAUCUGUUGUGCCCUGUUGCCCCCGUGGAAUCUUCACCACUCCCUAUGUUUGUUGUUGAUAAGGUUGUCUCUCAUGCUGCUAAGGUUGCUGAUGAUGUUGCAUGAUUCAGCAGUGGAUGAUGUUGCAUGACCCCAGAAAACACCAAGGAGAGACAAAAAAAAGGACACAAAAAAGUCUCUGGUCAAGUAAAACAAGAUCUAAUAUUCAGGCAAUGCAUGAUUCAGCAGUGGAUGUAUUAAGUCUAGUUGCCAGUUUGGUUUCGUGCCCGGGAGGUCGACCAUGGAAGCCAUAUUCUUGGUACGACAACUUAUGGAGAGAUACAGGGAGCAAAAGGAGGACUUGCAUAUGGUGUUCAUUGACUUGGAGAAGGCCUAUGAUAAGAUACCGCGGAAUGUCAUGUGGUGGGCCUUGGAGAAACACAAAGUCCUAGCAAAGUACAUUUCCCUCAUCAAGGACAUGUAUGAUAAUGUUGUGACAAGUGUUCGAACAAGUGAUGUCGACGUUGAUGACCUCCCGAUUAAGAUAGGAUAAUCAGGGGUCAGCUUUGAGCCCUUAUCUUUUUGCCUUGGUUAUGGAUGAGGUCACAAGGGAUAUACAAGGAGAUAUCACAUGGUGUAUGCUCAUUGCGGAUGAUUUGGUGCUAGUUGAUGAUAGUCGGACGGGGGUAAAUAGGAAGUUAGAGUUAUGGAGACAUACCUUGGAACCGAAAGGGUCUUAGUAGAACUAAAACCGAGUACAUGAUGUGCGGUUUCAGUACUACUAGGUGUGAGGAGGAGGAGGUUAGCCUUGAUGGGUAGGUGGUGCCUCAGAAGGAUACCUUUCGAUAUUUGGGGUCAAAGUCGCAGGAGGAUGGGGGUAUUGAUGAAGAUGUGAACCAUCGAGUCAAAGCCGGAUGGAUGAAGUGGCGCCAAGCUUCUGGCAUUCUCUGUGACAAGAGAGUGCCACAAAAGCUAAAAGGCAAGUUCUACAGGAUGACGGUUCGACCCGCAAUGUUGUAUGGCGCUGAGUGUUGGCCGACUAAAAGGUGACAUGUUCAACAGUUAGGUGUGGCAGAGAUGCGUAUGUUGAGAUGGAUGUGUGGCCACACGAGGAAGGAUCAAGUCCGGAAUGAUGAUAUACGAGAUAGAGUUGGGGUAGCACCAAUUGAAGAGAAGCUUGUCCAACAUUGUUUGAGAUGGUUUGGGCAUAUUCAGCGCAAGCCUCCAGACGCUCCAGUGCAUAGCGGACGGCUAAAGCGGGCGGAGAAUGUCAGGAGAGGUCGGGGUAGACCGAAUUUGACAUGGGAGGAGUCUAUUAAGAGAGACCUGAAGGAUUGGAGUAUCACCAAAGAACUAGCUAUGGACAGGGGUGCGUGGAAGCUUGCUAUCUAUGUGCCAGAGCCAUGAGUUGGUCGCGAGAUCUUAUGGGUUUCACCUCUAGCCUACCCCGACUUGUUUGGUGUUAGGAACUAAUAGUAUUGGUUUAGGAGUCCUAUUAGUCUAUGUUUACUUUCCUUGCACCUAAAGUCUUAUGUAAUAUAUAUAUGCCCUAUGGUCUUUCAAUAGAGAUAAGUUGCUUCCCUAACAUUUGGGACUAAAGGCUUUGUUGUUGUUGUUGUUGCCAGAUUAGUAGUAUUAAUUUUUAGAGUAAUUGUGCCAAAAAUUACGGAGAUGGGAUCUGCUGUACAUGCCUAUUUCCCCUGGUUACCAUAAUAGCUUCAUCAAUUUCCAAAUUAAUUGCCUCAAGUUGCCAAAGAUGGAUUUGCUAUACUCACCCACACCUAAUUUCCAGAUUAGUUGUCUCUAAAUGCCAGAUUCGCUGUAUCGGUUUCCAAAUUAAUUGUCUCAAGUUGUCGAAGAUGGAUUUGAUGUACUCACCUGCACCUAGUUUCUAGAUUAGUUAUCUCUAAUUGCCAGAUUGGUUGUACUAAUUUCCAAAUUAAUUGUGUCAAGUUACCAAAAAUGAAUUUUUUGUACGGGUAAUUUCCAGAUUAGUUGUCUCUACUUUCUAGAUUUGGUGUAUCAGUUGCCAUACUGGUUGCCGACCUUGCCAUUCUCGUGCCCGUGUCUUCCCCUUGUCAAAAAUCCCUAGCGCUCGCAUACAUGUGACUGAGAGAUCCCGUGGCACCUCCUGGAGUCCCGGGCCCCAUUCUAUCCCUUCGUCGUCUAGCUCGCGGGUGAUUAAGAUCACCCCAUGAAGUCUGUAAACAAAACACCGCAAAAAACAGUGAUGCAAAACAGAGAGAAAGGAGCGUGGAUUGCGCUCACUGGAAGCCGAGGCGCGCUCGCAUCAGAGCAGGCACGAGCUACCUCCAGUAUGGAGGAGUGAUCUUGCUGAAGAAAUAAAGGGAUAGAGGAGAGAGAGGGGAGGGGGGAUAGAAGAGCGGCAGGGAAGACAAUGCUAGAUACUAAGCAUCCUGUGGGCUUGAUGUGUGCGCUACUUCCGUUUCGCUGAACCACGCGAUGCGCAGGCACGGAUCUCAGCGCCCCGCCGCACGGGAGGGUGAGGAUGCGCACGCCCCUCGUUAGAUUUUCCCAACUAUGAAAAAGAUUCGAACUCUUGCCGUGAUCAGUGAUCAAUUGGCUGCCCAGUCUUAGUGGAGGCUGUGGACUCUUACCGCCACCAGCUAACUGCCUACACUCAGUGGCUUGAUGGUGAUGCUCUUGCUCGUGUUGUGUCCGUCUUCGUCGUGAAUGUCCUGCCUCAGUUUUCUUAUGAGAUUGUGUGACUCUUUCGGCCUUCAUCAUAUGGACUCACCUUCGUCAGCGAUACCAACAGGCUGGUGAUGCCAUUUACCAGUCCGCAGGGGCAAAACUUCAGCAGGAUGAUGCCUCUGUUGAUGAGUUCUACGCUUAGAGUUCUGCUAUUCAGCGUCAGUUGGAUUAUCUUUGCAUUGCUGGUUGUCACACGUGCUUUUGUUGCGUGGUUGUUUGUGUUGACCUGGAGUUCCAACAAAUUUCCGAGUUCUUGAUGUGGCUCUGUAAGGAGUUUGAGCCACGACAUGCCCAACUCUUUGUGAGUGUGCUCCAUGUCUCUUCUGAAGGCACUCACAUAGAUACACGUAGAGGAGACUCAUCUGCAUGGUGCUGGUUUAAUAGAGCUUUCUUUAGUGCUACACUGAAUACUACUAGCUACUUGCCCAUGUGUUGCAACGGGGCAUACAUGUUAUACUGGUUCAAUAACAAUCAUGUCCGACAUAUACCUUACGCCCAUCAUAUUCUAGAUUGUGGUAAGAUUUGAUUUGAUUUGAGUAUGGGUAGGGGAUGGUAAGGAAAGAUUUGAUUUAGUCGAGGUCUUGUUAAGAUUUGAUUUUAGUUGGGUAAGGGUAAGGGAAGGCAAGGAAAGUUUUGAUUUAUUUCAGGUUUUGAUAAGAUAUAAUUUGAUUGAGUUGAUGCGGGACAUGGUUAUGGUAAGAUUUGGUUGAGUUAAUGCAUGAUAUGGUUUCCAAUAGGACAAGGAAAGGAACGUAUCGAUGUGGUUUUGAUUAUUCCAAACCAAGGAGGGCAUGAAGAGUAAAAAUCAAUGUAAGGGGGCGAGGGAGGAGGUGAGGAUAUCGCUUGCACCUCCUUUUAGUUCAUGGUCUUCUGUGGUAUGCCUCAGGGGGCAUCCUUAGAGCAUCUACAACUAGGCUCCUCAAACCCCUGCUAAACGUUCGGGGGGACAACCCGAUCAUUGUCUGGUCACGAAUUCGCCACCCAACCACUCGCCUAUACCCAGCCCAUACCUAGUCCAAAUGUGGGGCGGUCCGGACGCGGCCCCCACGUCGGACUGGCCUAGUCUGACCCCACAAAUACCCCACCCUGGACAAAACCCUAGUCUAGUCUUGACUACUCCGCUCCACUGCUUGUCUCCUUCCGUAGUUCCGUCCACUUCGUGUCCCCUCCCCUCCCCACACCAUGUCCAACUCCAGCAACGGAUCCGGCAACGAGUCGUACUCCAUCGUCUGGGGGGCGCUCAAGGAGGAAUCUAGCUCCUUCGCCCCGGACGACGAGGAGCACAUCCUCCGCAUUGCCCUUCGCCGUUCAUGGAUGGAUAGGAGCGGGAACUCAAGCUCCGCGAUCGAAGGGGCAGCUCCGCAUUGGCCUGAAGCCGCACAUCGCUGUCCGUGCCCUCCCCUUUCAUGUGGUGGGGCGACUAGUGGUGCCUGGCACCUCUAGCCCUUGCUUCUCCCGAGAGGCGCUGGGUGCUCGUGCCCGCACUGUAGAGCCUGCUGCCAUGGCUGCCUGAGUUGAAGGUGCGGGUCGCUCGCUACGGAAGGCAAAAGGGCCGCGCAGGCCUUCAGCCGGCCUGGUUGGUGGUGGUGCAGAUCCGCGCUCGAGCCCCCCCCCCCCCCCCCCCCCGGCGAUCUCCUCCGCUACGCAUCCGCCGGUCCUUCACCUCGGUGGAGGCAGACGCUCACCGCCGCGGUUGUGGCAAAAAUGCGAAGGCGCUCCGGAUUGGCAUCGAGAAGUCCGAGCGCCUCGCGAAACAGAAGGCGGCGGCCGUGGCAUAAGCCGCCCGACUCACUAAGGAGCAGGCCCGCGCUGCUUGGCGUGUGGUCGGGAUCCGUUUCUCCUCUUCAUCUGACAGCGGAAGAACCAACAACGGCGAUGACUCCCCUCCUGCCAUCGACGCCUACGCCGAAGACUACAACCGCUGCUUCGGAGACCCCAAGUGGAAGCGACCAACGAGGAAGUGGUUAAGAGCGUGUUUGGUUCUCGUCCUUGAGUUGAAGUGCCUUGCCUGGAGAGCGCAUGGAGCCGCCUGUGCAUUGUUUGGUUGGUGAUCUGGGGAAUCAACUGCACGCCUGGCCUGGUAUAAGUCUGGCAUCCCCUCUGUAUCUACAAAAGAGGAGUCGAUGUAGUAACCAAACUAGCGAUAAGUCUGGCAUCCCCUCCGUAUCUACUAGCAUCUACUAGUAGUUUGCUAUCGUAUUUUGCUAUGUAGCUAUGUUGAACAUGCUAUCGAACAAUCUAUGUCUUGCUAUGUCGAACUUGGUAUGUCCUGUCCUAUUUAUGUUGAUCUACGUCUUGCUAUUUUCACGUUGCAUGCAUUGCAUGGAUUUGGGGGUUAGCAUAUGAGGGGGACGGCUGUGGACGCGGACAUUUGAGGGGUGACCGGACACGUCCGAGGAUAUAUAGGGGCUCAAAUUAGUACUACCUCCGUUCCAAAUUAUAAGAUGUUUUGGAUAUUUCAAUAUGGUCUACAUAGACUGAAAUGAGUGAACAAACACACUAAAACGCGUCUAUAUACAUCCGAUUCUCAUUUUUUUAUAAGAUCUUAUAAUUUGGAAUGGAAGGGGUACAUUCUGGUUGUAGAUGCUCUAAAGUGUUAGGGUUGUAAACUUGGUAAACAGAUUCAGUUUUCUUAAUGUUCACCUCCGAGCUUCUGAUGGCGAGCCUCCUUAUGAUCUGACUCACUAUCGUCAUCUUGUUAGUUGCCUCUUCUAUCUAGCAUCUCCUAUCCAGUUCGCGUUCUGGGUCACCUCCUUCGGGUUGUACAUAUCUUUCGAAUCUCUGGCCACUUUCUGCUUAAUGUGUCUUUUCUUAGUUAGUUUCUCAUUGCCAGGAAGACAAAGAAACAUAUUGCAAUUUCCCGUUUGAGCAGAGGCCAUGGUUGCAAGCUAUGGCUCUUGUGACAGAGGUGACUUGAUUAUGGUGGUUACUUGAGGAUUUUUGUCUUUUUGUUACUACAUUGACUCCUCUUUUGUCUAACAACACAUGUGCUAUUGGUAUUUCUUGAGAUCUGGUAAAAGCAUGAGCUCAACAAACAUAUUGGUAUGGACGCUUAUACUCCCUCCGUCCCAAAAUAAGUGUCUCAACUUUGUACUAGCUUUAGUACAAAGUUGUACUAAGCUUGAGACACUUAUUUUGGGACAGAGGGAGUAUGAGAUAAUAGGUACAAGAUCAGGUUGCUCUUCAGUAUGUGCCUUCAGAGCUUCAGUUGGAGGCCUUGGGAAUAGAUCAGGAUGCUUCCCUCGUAAAAGCUUCGCUGAUCGCUGCUAAGGCACAGGGUGCUGAUGACGUCGCUGACAACGAAGGCAAGGGCAUCAUGCUAUUUUGUCAGUACAAGGGAAGCGAAGAGAAUGGUGAGGACUCUGGCUGAUCUACUGAAGGAAGCUGUACGUGAUAGUUUCUUUCUACGAUGAUUGUUUUCUUCCUGCCGAUUCCCAAGAGGAUCUGGGGCCUCUUCCCAUUGGAGGCAUAUAUGUAUUCCUGAGUAUAUCUUGCAUGUACUGUCUUGUCAUAGCAAGCAACUUGGGACCAGCUUCAGACAAGUAGUAUGUUUCAGUUUUGAACCAAACUAGGCUACUCCUGCAAUGAAUGAAUCUCCCUUUUGGUUUGCACA